GACGAACGCUGGCGGCGUGCUUAACACAUGCAAGUCGAACGGAAAGGCCCUGCUUUUGUGGGGUGCUCGAGUGGCGAACGGGUGAGUAACACGUGAGUAACCUGCCCUUGACUUUGGGAUAACUUCAGGAAACUGGGGCUAAUACCGGAUAGGAGCUCCUGCUGCAUGGUGGGGGUUGGAAAGUUUCGGCGGUUGGGGAUGGACUCGCGGCUUAGCAGCUUGUUGGUGGGGGAGUGGCUUACCAAGGCUUUGACGGGUGGCCGGCCUGAGAGGGUGACCGGCCACAUUGGGACAGAGAUACGGCCCAGACUCCUACGGGAGGCAGCAGUGGGGAAUAUUGCACAAUGGGCGGAAGCCUGAUGCAGCAUCGCCGCGUGCGGGAUGACGGCCUUCGUGUUGUAAACCGCUUUCGCCUGUGACGAAGCGUGAGUGACGGUAAUGGGUAAAGAAGCACCGGCUAACUACGUG
rnacentral:rRNA from 1 species